AGAGUUUGAUCCUGGCUCAGAACGAACGCUGGCGGCAGGCCUCAUACAUGCAAGUCGCACGAUUAAAGCUCCCUUCGGGGAGUGUAUAAAGUGGCAAACGGGUGAGUAACAGGUGGAUAAUCUGCCCCUUGGCGGGGGAUAACGGUUGGAAACGACCGCUAAUACCGCAUGUGAUUGCUUUUCCCCCGGGUUUAGCAAAGAAAGGCGCUUCACGGCGCCGCCAAAGGAUGAGUCCGCCCCCCAUUAGCUAGUUGGUAAGGUAAUGGCUUACCAAGGCUUCGAUGGGUAGCCGAGCUGAGAGGUUGAUCGGCCACACUGGGACUGAGAUACGGCCCAGACACCUACGGGUGGCAGCAGUAGGGAAUAUUGCGCAAUGGACGAAAGUCUGACGCAGCCAUGCCGCGUGAGUGAUGAAGGCCUUCGGGUCGUAAAGCUCUUUUCUGAGGGAAGAACAUCCAGUGCAGGAAAUGGCACUGGCUUGACGGUACCUCAGGAAUAAGGAGCGGCUAACUCCGUGCCAGCAGCCGCGGUAAUACGGAGGCUCCUAGCGUUGUUCGGAAUUACUGGGCGUAAAGGGAGCGCAGGCGGAAUGAUUAGUCUGAAGUGGAAGUCCGGGGCUCAACCUCGGAAGUGCUUCGGAUACUGUCAUUCUUGAGAUCGUGAGAGGAAAGCGGAAUUCAGGGUGUAGCGGUGAAAUGCCUAGAUAUCCUGAGGAACACCAAUAGCGAAAGCAGCUUUCUGGCACUGAUCUGACGCUGAGGCUCGAAAGCGUGGGUAGCGAACGGGAUUAGAUACCCCGGUAGUCCACGCCGUAAACGUUGUCAACUAGGUGCGAGAGGUAUCGACCCCUUUCGUGCCGAAGCUAACGCAUUAAGUUGACCGCCUGGGGAGUACGCGCGCAAGCGUGAAACUCAAAGGAAUUGACGGGGGCCCGCACAAGCGGUGGAGCAUGUGGUUUAAUUCGAGGCAACGCGAAGAACCUUACCCAGGCUUGACAUCCCGUGACCGCCAUGGAAACAUGGUUUUCCCUUCGGGGACACGGUGACAGGUGUUGCAUGGCUGUCGUCAGCUCGUGUCGUGAGAUGUUGGGUUAAGUCCCGCAACGAGCGCAACCCCUAUCCUUAGUUACCAGCACGUUAUGGUGGGCACUCUAAGGACACUGCCGGUGAUAAGCCGGAGGAAGGUGGGGACGACGUCAAGUCAUCAUGGCCCUUACGCCUGGGGCCACACACGUGCUACAAUGGCCGGUACAAUGAGCUGCAAAGCCGCGAGGUGGAGCGAAUCUCAAAAAGCCGGUCUCAGUUCGGAUAGGAGUCCGCAAUUCGACUCCUUGAAGUCGGAAUCGCUAGUAAUCGCGUAUCAGCUACGACGCGGUGAAUACGUUCCCGGGCCUUGUACACACCGCCCGUCACAUGACCCGAGUCGGGUGCACCC
rnacentral:rRNA from 1 species